UACAGAGGGUGCGAGCGUUAAUCGGAAUUACUGGGCGUAAAGCGUGCGUAGACGGUUAUUUAAGUCGGGUGUGAAAGCCCCGGGCUCAACCUGGGAAUUGCAUUCGAGACUGCGUAGCUAGGGUGCGGAAGAGGGAAGCGGAAUUUCCGGUGUAGCGGUGAAAUGCGUAGAUAUCGGAAGGAACACCAGUGGCGAAAGCGGCUCCUGGUCCAGCACCGACGUCAGGCACGAAAGCGUGGGGAGCAAACAGG
rnacentral:rRNA from 1 species